UAGGUGGCAAGCGUUGUCCGGUUUUACUGGGUGUAAAGGGCGUGCAGCCGGAGAGGCAAGUCAGAUGUGAAAUUCGCGGGCUCAACCCGCCAACUGCAUUUGAAACUGCUUCCCUUGAGUAUCGGAGAGGUAACCGGAAUUCCUAGUGUAGCGGUGAAAUGCGUAGAUAUUAGGAAGAACACCAGUGGCGAAGGCGGGUUACUGGACGACAACUGACGGUGAGGCGCGAAAGCGUGGGGAGCAAA
rnacentral:rRNA from 1 species